UCGUGGUCUGCAGCACGCGC
rnacentral:snRNA from 1 species